AUGCAGAGUAAUACCCUAGUGCUUCCAGCUAAGCAGCUUCUCAAUAAUAGACAUUUAAAUGAAACACGCUGUUUCUUUUAUUUUAAGGCUAAAUACCUUAAGAAAACUUCGGUGGCUAUGGUGAAACACAAAGCCAGUGACUCGCCUUGCUGGAAGUCACUUUUGAAAGUGAAAGACCUAUAUAUGAUGGGAAGGGGUAUUAAUCUAAAUAGAGGAGAUGUGGCUAGACUCUGGCAGGAUAGCCUGGAGGGUAAAAUGCCUUUUAAAGACAGAUUCCCACUGCUCUUUGAGACCUGUAAUGAGCAAAAUUGUAAUGUUGACCAGUUUAAAAACCUGGAUCAGAUCACCUCUUUUAGGAGGAGGAUGUCCCCUGAGAUGCUGCAACAAUGGGGAGAUAUGAAUAAUGAGGUGUUAAACCUUAAACUUAGUGAUGGGGCAGAUGAGGUUUAUUGGAAAUGGGAUAGUUCGGGCAAUUAUACAACUAAAUCCAUGUAUGCUUGGCUGGAGAAAGAUAUUGCAGGAUCUAAUUUUAAAUGGAUUUGGGAUGCAAAGCUACCUCUUAAAAUCCAAAUUUUCUUAUGGCAGAUGGCGCAGAAUGCCAUCCUGACCAGGGACAAUAUGAAAAAAAGACUAUGGCCGGGGGAUCCUUGCUGUUCGUUUUGUAAUCAAUUAGAAACAGCCCAACACUUGUUCUUUUUAUGCCCUGUGUCCAGGGUGGUGUGGAGAAACGUGGGUUCCUUACUUGGAACUGAUUGCUGUCCUAACUCUGUUUGGCAAUACUAUACGUGGAUGUACAGUUUCCUACCUGGGAUGGACAAAAUUUACACUGUUUGCUUGGCUGCUAUAUGCUGGGCUAUUUGGUUGGCCAGGAACCGAGCCACUUUUGAACACAAAUGGAUUAACUCCCCGUUUGAGAUUGUGUUCACAGCUUGUUCUUUUUUGAUAAACUGGGCAGGCCUCCAGAAAGCAGAGAUGGUGAAAAAAGGAGCAGAGAUGCUGAAGGAGAACACUACGCAGAUGAUGCUGCUUUGCGGUCCACCAGUUCCAGCUCAAGAUGGGCGCGACGAAAACUGA
rnacentral:rRNA from 1 species